GACGAACCGAGCGAACGUUGUUCGGAAUCACUGGGCUUAAAGGGCGCGUAGGCGGGUGCUCAAGUCCGUGGUGAAAUCCUCCGGCUCAACCGGAGAACUGCCUCGGAUACUGGGCGUCUCGAGUGUGGUAGGGGUAUGCGGAACUAUCGGUGGAGCGGUGAAAUGCGCAGAUAUCAGGAGGAACACCGGUGGCGAAGGCGGAUCUCUGGGCCGAUACUGACGCUGAGGAGCGAAAGCGUGGGGAGCGAACAGG
rnacentral:rRNA from 1 species